UUGGUUAAGUUAGAAAGGGCGCACGGUGGAUGCCUUGGCACUAGGAGCCGAAGAAGGACGGGACUAACACCGAUAUGCUUUGGGGAGCUGUACGUAAGCGUUGAUCCAGAGAUUUCCGAAUGGGGGAACCCACUAUCUUUAGUCGGAUAGUAUCCUUACGUGAAUACAUAGCGUAAGGAAGGCAGACCCAGGGAACUGAAACAUCUAAGUACCUGGAGGAAGAGAAAGAAAAAUCGAUUUCCUGAGUAGCGGCGAGCGAAACGGAAAGAGCCCAAACCAAGAAGCUUGCUUCUUGGGGUUGUAGGACACUCUAUACGGAGUUACAAAAGAAAGUUAUAAAUGAAGCGGUCUGGAAAGGCCCGCCAAAGACGGUAACAGCCCGGUAGUUGAAAUGGCUUUCCCUCCAGAGUGGAUCCUGAGUACGGCGGAACACGUGAAAUUCCGUCGGAAUCCGGGAGGACCAUCUCCCAAGGCUAAAUACUCCCUAGUGACCGAUAGUGAACCAGUACCGUGAGGGAAAGGUGAAAAGCACCCCGGAAGGGGAGUGAAACAGUUCCUGAAACCGUGUGCCUACAAGUAGUUAGAGCCCGUUAAUGGGUGAUAGCGUGCCUUUUGUAGAAUGAACCGGCGAGUUACGAUUUGUUGCAAGGUUAAGCGGAAAAAGCGGAGCCGUAGCGAAAGCGAGUCUGAAUAGGGCGCAUAAGUAACAGGUCGUAGACCCGAAACCAGGUGAUCUACCCAUGUCCAGGAUGAAGGUAAGGUAAUACUUACUGGAGGUCCGAACCCACGCACGUUGAAAAGUGCGGGGAUGAGGUGUGGGUAGCGGAGAAAUUCCAAUCGAACUUGGAGAUAGCUGGUUCUCUCCGAAAUAGCUUUAGGGCUAGCCUCGAGGUAAAGAGUCAUGGAGGUAGAGCACUGUUUGGACUAGGGGCCCUUCUCGGGUUACCGAAUUCAGAUAAACUCCGAAUGCCAUGUACUUAUACUCGGGAGUCAGACUGCGAGUGAUAAGAUCCGUAGUCGAAAGGGAAACAGCCCAGACCACCAGUUAAGGUCCCCAAAUAUAUGUUAAGUGGAAAAGGAUGUGGGGUUGCUUAGACAACCAGGAUGUUGGCUUAGAAGCAGCCACCAUUGAAAGAGUGCGUAAUAGCUCACUGGUCGAGUGACCCCGCGCCGAAAAUGUACCGGGGCUAAACAUAUUACCGAAACUGUGGAUGAACCUCUUCGGAGGUUCGUGGUAGGAGAGCGUUCUAAGGGCGGUGAAGUCAGACCGGAAGGACUGGUGGAGCGCUUAGAAGUGAGAAUGCCGGUAUGAGUAGCGAAAGAAGGGUGAGAAUCCCUUCCACCGAAUAUCUAAGGUUUCCUGAGGAAGGCUCGUCCGCUCAGGGUUAGUCGGGACCUAAGCCGAGGCCGAUAGGCGUAGGCGAUGGACAACAGGUAGAGAUUCCUGUACCAGUGCUAAUUGUUUAACCGAUGGGGUGACACAGAAGGAUAGGGAAUCGCACGAAUGGAAAUGUGCGUCCAAGCAGUGAGUGUGAGAAGUAGGCAAAUCCGCUUCUCGCGAAGCAUGAGCUGUG
rnacentral:rRNA from 1 species